ensembl:lncRNA
CAACUGCUGGAGGACAAAAGAAAGAUGGAGAUGCAGAGAAAUGAGGAGGGAAUGAGCAAGUCAAGGGUGGAGCAAGAGUGGAAGAUCCUUGAGAUGGAGAAAAAGAGAAUGGAGGAGAAAAUGGAGAUGGAGAGGAAAGAGGUGGAGGCUCAGAGACUGCACCUGCAAGAGAAGGAGAGAAAGCUCAAGGAGGACGUGACAAUGAAGGAAGAGAAGGACGCCUCAAAAAUGAAAGAGGUUGAGGAAGGAUGGAAAAAUAUUGAGGCAGAGAGGAAAACUGAAAAUGAGAGGAUGACAUCAAGAAAGAAGGAGGUCGAGGAUGAGUGGAAAAAGAUCGAAACUGAGAGGAGGACAAUGGAGGAGAGGAUAGAGACUGAAGUCAAUAAAAUGGAGAUGCAGAGAAAUGAGGAGGGAAUGAGCAAGUCAAGGGUGGAGCAAGAGUGGAAGAUCCUUGAGAUGGAGAAAAAGAGAAUGGAGGAGAAAAUGGAGAUGGAGAGGAAAGAGGUGG